rnacentral:rRNA from 1 species
CCUACGGGAGGCAGCAGUAGGGAAUAUUGCUCAAUGGGGGAAACCCUGAAGCAGCAACGCCGCGUGGAGGAUGAAGGUUUUCGGAGUGUAAACUCCUUUUGGUAGAGAAGAAAAUGACGGUAUCUAACGAAUAAGCACCGGCUAACUCCGUGCCAGCAGCCGCGGUAAUACGGAGGGUGCAAGCGUUACUCGGAAUCACUGGGCGUAAAGAGCGCGUAGGCGGGAUAGCAAGUCAGAUGUGAAAUCCUAUGGCUUAACCAUAGAACUGCAUUUGAAAUUGUUAUUCUAGAGUAUGGGAGAGGUAGGUGGAAUUCUUGGUGUAGGGGUGAAAUCCGUAGAGAUCAAGAGGAAUACUCAUUGCGAAGGCGACCUGCUAGACCAUAACUGACGCUGAUGCGCGAAAGCGUGGGGAGCAAACAGGAUUAGAUACCCCUGUAGUC